rnacentral:rRNA from 1 species
UCUGGUAAUGAUGCCUCUAAAGGUCACACUCCUUCCCAUACCGAACAGGAAAGUUAAGCUUUAGAGGGCCGAUGGUACUGCAUGGGUGACUGUGUGGAAGAGUAGGAUGUUGCCAGGU